CCCAGGUGCCUGCCUUGAGACAUCUGCCUAUACUGGCUUCAUGUUACACACAAAUCCACAUUCAAUAACACUCUUAUUUAUAGGCUUAGUUAUGUUAAACAGAUUUUCACUAAGUUCUUAUUCUAGUGGCUGGUGGUUGUGGAAAGAGAAGGGAUUAGAAUGGGAAGUGAACUGCUAGUUUAAGAGAAGAGUAGGUGUUAUGCUAUCAUGCGUUGCUUUUCGCCUUUGUGCAGCCCUGAAUCUGUGGAGGCUAGUCCAGCAGUUAAUGAGAAGAGCCUGUACUCCACUCAUAAUUAUGGGACCACUCAGAGGCAUGGGUGUCGAGGACUGCCUUAUGCUGUGAGUAUGCACUUGUUUCUCUCCAGAGCAGUGAUCUUCCUGGAGUGUAAUCCAUUCUUAUACAUUGUGACUUUCUUGAAAUGUUUAUAUGCAGCAUGACGAAGUUGCCCCUUUUGCACUUCCCUGCCUCCAGCGGACGUCUAGCCCUGCAUCAUUGUUCUUGUUUUUAUGUCCCAGUUGACCUUGGCAUUUUGUUUUAUCACUUUCCUGGUUGAAGCCAAAAAACGAAGGGUACUACUUUCUUCUUUCUUUCCAUAUGUACCAUACUUUAGGGGAG
rnacentral:lncRNA from 1 species